CACAACAGGACAAAGGGUUACCUCCCAAAGGUGAGAGUUCCCAGAGAUCAGAGACCCUGGUCCCAGGCUGACCCAGCCACUGGGACAGCACAGAACUCAGCUCCCGGGGGGCACCCCUGGGACACGGCUGGGCUGGAGCCAUCUGCUCCAGAAAUUCUGCUAAUUGUCUGCUCAUCUCUGUUCUCUGGCUGGGCCUGAAGGCACCUAGAUUCAGAAACUCUGCUGUCCCAUGACAAGGGCUGGAAGGAGGUGUGCACCCCUCUCCAUAGCUGGAGUGGUGGACGGAGGCACUGACUCAGCUCCGGACCCUCCCCUGGGGUGCUCUCAGCACCAUCAGGGACCUGGGAGGACAUUCCAGUCAGGGUGACAGUGGCAUUGAAGGCCACUCUCGAUGCCGAGGAAGGGGAUGGAGCCAUAGUAGGGGCUGUCCACGGCCACGCUCAUCAUUCACACCUGGGGAUAAAGCCAGGUGGUCAGGAGCCUGCCCAGCGCUGGCUUCCGUUCCCCUUUACUCACAGUGGCCCAAGUGCACCCACACUCCCCAUCAGGCACUCCCCCAGCUCCCCAGGUCAGGCCUUUCCAAGAUGCCCCAGGAUGUCUCCAGGGGACUCUUGCCGUCUCCACCCCUGAGGGAAGUCUCUCCUUAUCAGAGCCUGUGGUGGAUGUGAAAUGAGGAAGCAGCACAAGCCGCUCAGGGCUGAGUCAUCGGGGUGUCUUCUGGCAUCUUCUCUCUCCUUGUUCUCCCAUCAUGAGAGGAAAGAUGCCCAUGAGCCACAUCCCCUUUGAGCAGCUCAGGGCCCACAGAGCAGGGGCUGCACAGUAUAACUGAAAACAGCAUCAGCUUAGUAAGUACCACAGACACAAAAAUGAAUCAACAUGCAGGGCAGGAUGGCGGCCCUUGUGCAUCCAAGGAGGGGACCAGAGACUUCAGUGCCUGAGAGGACUCACAGUGUCAUGAGAUGGUGGGAAAACGAGCCAGAAAUCGGGCAAAGAACAGAGAACAUUCUCAAACUGUAAAGACACUUCCCAGGAGCCCCAGGAACCUGCAGAGCAUGCGCAUCACCAACCAGAUGUGAAUCCAGCUGUCCCUCCACACUGGAAUCCGACUGCUCAUGGACUGUCCUAGCUCAGCUGCCCCCAGGGCCUGGAAGCAGUAACCGUACUGUCAGGGAGGGCAGGUGCUAAGGAUGCCACCAGUCAGAGAGUCGAACACUGGGCACUGGGUCCAGGAUGACAUGCACACCCUAUUCACUGCACAGUGUCCGACCAACGAGGACAGGAGUGUCUUGGAACAACAGUCUCACUAAUGAUACCGCAUGUCCGUUCUCACACUGAUAUAAAUGGGGUAAAUCUUAUCCCUAUGACAAUUGGAAUAAUGAUGAAAUUGAGGGUGGUGUCACCAUAAACUUUUCAUCUUCUUCUGAUCCAGUUUUUCCAUUAUUUACUGUAUGGAUUUUUGAGUUAGUUCUUGUCUAGAAUAUUGCCCUUCAUUUUCUAAUAUUGUGAUCAUUUUGGUAGGUUUUAAUGUACAUGGAAUUUGUUUAGUAGAUAAUUUUACCUAAAUGAAUAUCCUGCUGUUCUGACACCAUUUAUUGGGGAGAAUAUUGUUUCUACACUGAUUUCACAUGACACUUUUCACACGUUGAUUUGAGAUUCCAUUUCUUUUGAACACUAAAUUGCUAUAUUUGGUGCGUUCUUUAUUCUGUUUCUCUUUCUGAAACAUGUCACACUUUUUAAAAUUCCAUAGGUUUGUUGAUCUUGUAAAUCUUAUGAGGCAAAUUUCUGUACUUAUGUCACAUAAAACCAAGUGAGUAGGAUAAGGAAAGACUUGAGUUAGAAAGACUAUUGCAAUAGGGAGGAUGGACUCUGUGAGCUUGUCACAAUCACACAGACAAGGGUUUUCUUUUAAAGGGUAAAGUAGGAGGCAGGCAGAGAAAAUCAGAAUAUUUGGACAGGAAGCUGGAGAAAGAAGAGGAAAUGACCAAUGAGUUCUGACAGCAAGAGUCUUCUUGUCAUCAGCAAAUUCCCAGGGGAAGCUGAUGGGGAAUGGUGGGAGGGAGGGGGAAACGUUCCACUUUUUUUGUUCUUGUUCAGCCUUGAGGGGAAGCAGAUUUCUGGGGGCUGCAGGAAAGAGAGAAGCUGAUUAAAGUUUCAUCAAGACAAAGCAGAGGGUGAGAAGUGCAAAAUGUGAAAACUUGGUCACUAAUUAUUCUUCACAGCUGUGCUGCCUCUCCUUUCACAUUGUUUCUUCUGCGCACAGUAAACUUCAUAGUUAGUUUACUACGUUCCAUGAAAAAUGUCUUAGGAAUUGAUGACUGUGUUGACUGUGGAGAUGAAUUGACUGUGGAGAUGGUUCCUGACCAUAUUAAGAAUCCCCACCCCCCCAGUAAACUGCCUCUUUAUGGAGGUUAUGAUUUCUUUCCGUUUCACUUACAGUUUCUCCUUGAGAGCUUCAGGCAUUUCUUGCAGGAUUCUUCCUAGGUAUUUUUGAAGUUUUUACAAAAUUUUAAACAGUUUUUCCUAUUGUACUUUAAAAUUGGUUUUUGUUUUGAUAGAAAACCAUUGAUUUUGAAUGUUGAUCUUGCUGUGAGUGUCUUAUUG